GCGGAUGGCCGGAUGACCGCGGGGUUCGGCGGUGCUUGCAUCGCCUGCCGCGAGGAAAGUCCGGACUCCCUGAAGCAACGGUGCCGGGUAACGCCCGGGCGGGGAAACCCGACGGAAAGCGCCACAGAGAACAGACCGCUGCGUUCGCGCAGCAAGGGUGAAACGGUGGAGUAAGAGCCCACCGCGGGGCUGGCAACAGUCCCGGCACGGCAAGCCCCACCGGGAGCAAUGCCAGAUAGGACCUCCGCGGGGCCAGACCCCAGGGCCGCUUCAGCCCCAGGCAGGUCGGGUAGGCAGCUUGAGCGUGUCGGCGACGGCACGUCUAGAGGAAUGGUCAUCGAAGGGGCGCGAGCCCUGGAACAGAAUCCGGCUUACAGGCCAUCCGCGCUA
rnacentral:RNase_P_RNA from 1 species